rnacentral:rRNA from 1 species
CAGCCGCCGCGGUAAUACGAAGGGUGCAAGCGUUAAUCGGAAUUACUGGGCGUAAAGCGUGCGUAGGCGGUGAGUUAAGUCUGCUGUGAAAUCCCCGGGCUCAACCUGGGAAUGGCAAUGGAUACUGGCAAGCUAGAGUGUGUCAGAGGAUGGUGGAAUUCCCGGUGUAGCGGUGGAAUGCGUAGAGAUCGGGAGGAACAUCAGUGGCGAAGGCGGCCAUCUGGGACAACACUGACGCUGAGGCACGAAAGCGUGGGGAGCAAACAGGAUUAGAUACCCGUGUAGUCCCUGUCUCUUAUAC